rnacentral:rRNA from 1 species
CGGAAGGUCCAGGCGUUAUCCGGAUUUAUUGGGUUUAAAGGGAGCGUAGGCCGUCUGUUAAGCGUGUUGUGAAUGUAGAUGCUCAACAUCUGAAUUGCAGCGCGAACUGGCAGACUUGAGUGUGCGCAACGUAGGCGGAAUUCGUGGUGUAGCGGUGAAAUGCUUAGAUAUCACGAAGAACUCCGAUUGCGAAGGCAGCUUACGGGAGCACAACUGACGCUGAAGCUCGAAAGUGCGGGUAUCGAACAGGAUU